rnacentral:rRNA from 1 species
GACGAACGCUGGCGGUGUGCUUAACACAUGCAAGUCGAACGGUAAGGCCCUUUCGGGGGUACACGAGUGGCGAACGGGUGAGUAACACGUGAGUAACCUGCCCUCAUCUCUGGGAUAACAGUCGGAAACGGUUGCUAAUACUGGAUAUGAGCUUGCAAGGCAUCUUGUGGGUUGGAAAGAUUUUUUUGGUUGGGGAUGGACUCGCGGCCUAUCAGCUUGUUGGUGAGGUAGUGGCUCACCAAGGCUUCGACGGGUAGCCGGCCUGAGAGGGCGACCGGCCACAUUGGGACUGAGAGACGGCCCAAACUCCUACGGGAGGCAGCAGUGGGGAAUAUUGCACAAUGGACGGAAGUCUGAUGCAGCAACGCCGCGUGCGGGAUGACGGCCUUCGGGUUGUAAACCGCUUUCAAUUGUGACGAAGCUUUUUGUGACGGUAGCAGUAGAAGAAGCACCGGCUAACUACGUG